rnacentral:rRNA from 1 species
GAUGAACGCUGACAGAAUGCUUAACACAUGCAAGUCAACUUGAACUUCGGUUUGUGUGGCGGACGGGUGAGUAACGCGUAAAGAACUUGCCUCACAGCUAGGGACAACAUUUGGAAACGAAUGCUAAUACCUGAUAUUAUGAUUUUAGGGCAUCCUAGAAUUAUGAAAGCUAUAUGCGCUUUGAGAGAGCUUUGCGUCCCAUUAGCUAGUUGGAGAGGUAACGUCUCACCAAGGCGUUGAUGGGUACCCGGCCGGACAGGGUGAACGGCCACAAGGGGACUGAGACACGGCCCUUACUCCUACGGGAGGCAGCAGUGGGGAAUAUUGGACAAUGGACGAAGAGUCUGAUCCAGCAAUUCUGUGGGCACGAUGAAGUUUUUCGGAAUGUAAAGUGCUUUCAGUUGGGAAGAAAAAAAUGACGGUACCAACAGAAGAAGUGACGGCUAAAUACGUG